rnacentral:lncRNA from 1 species
GGUAAGUUUGAAUGGUUUGCAAAAUUGGGGAUGAAAACAAGGAAGAUAGGUUCGAAUGGCUAGUUUCGUAAUGGAAAUGGAAGCAAGUUGAUGGUCUGAUUCAAAAAGGAUGAAAGAGGGAUGGAUAAAUGGCUAUCAAAGGGAUCAAACAAAGGUUAAAGGAAAACUUGGUGAUAGGUGGAUGAAAAUCGGCUAAGGCUAAGAUUGAACCAACAUUAUAGGAAAAGUUGACCCGAAUCUUGGAUGACACUUAGGUUGAGAAGUUAAUGGAAAUAUGGAUGGAGAAAUUGAUAGAAAACUUCGAC